GAUGAACGCUGGCGGCGUGCCUAAUACAUGCAAGUCGAGCGAACGGACUAGAAGCUUGCUUCUCUGAUGUUAGCGGCGGACGGGUGAGUAACACGUGGAUAACCUACCUAUAAGACUGGGAUAACUUCGGGAAACCGUAGCUAAUACCGGAUAAUAUUUUGAACCGCAUGGUUCAAAAGUGAAAGACGGUCUUGCUGUCACUUAUAGAUGGAUCCGCGCUGCAUUAGCUAGUUGGUAAGGUAACGGCUUACCAAGGCAACGAUGCAUAGCCGACCUGAGAGGGUGAUCGGCCACACUGGAACUGAGACACGGUCCAGACUCCUACGGGAGGCAGCAGUAGGGAAUCUUCCGCAAUGGGCGAAAGCCUGACGGAGCAACGCCGCGUGAGUGAUGAAGGUCUUCGGAUCGUAAAACUCUGUUAUUAGCGAAGAACAUAUGUGUAAGUAACUGUGCACAUCUUGACGGUACCUAAUCAGAAAGCCACGGCUAACUACGUG
rnacentral:rRNA from 1 species